rnacentral:rRNA from 1 species
GACGAACGCUGGCGGCGUGCUUAACACAUGCAAGUCGAACGGAAAGGCCCUGCUUGCAGGGUACUCGAGUGGCGAACGGGUGAGUAACACGUGGGUGAUCUGCCCUGCACUUCGGGAUAAGCCUGGGAAACUGGGUCUAAUACCGGAUAGGAGCCAUUUUGAGUGUGAUGGUUGGAAAGUUUUUUCGGUGUAGGAUGAGCUCGCGGCCUAUCAGCUUGUUGGUGGGGUAAUGGCCUACCAAGGCGGCGACGGGUAGCCGGCCUGAGAGGGUGGACGGCCACAUUGGGACUGAGUUCCGGCCCAGACACCUACGGGAGGCAGUGGGGGGGAAUAUUGCACAAGGGGCGCCAGCCUGAUGCAGCGACGCCGCGUGGGGGAGGACGGCCUUCGGGUUGUAAACUCCGUUCGCUAGGGACGAAGCUUUUUGUGACGGUACCUAGAGAAGAAGCACCGGCUAACUACGUG